AGGCCUUGACAUGGUGAUCAUAUGGCUGCGAAAGCAGUUAGUCGGUUCGGCCGGAUCGUCACAGGUGUUGCAUGGCUGUCGUCAGCUCGUGUCGUGAGAUGUUGGGUUAAGUCCCGCAACGAGCGCAACCCUUAUCCUUAGUUGCCAGCGAGUGAUGUCGGGAACUUUAAGGAAACUGCCGGUGAUAAGCCGGAGGAAGGUGGGGAUGAUGUCAAGUCAGCAUGGCCCUUACGGCCUGGGCUACACACGUGUUACAAUGGUGGUGACAAAAAGAAGCAAUAGGGCGAACUGGAGCAGAUCUUAUAAAAGCUAUAUCAGUUCGGAUUGCACUCUGCAACUCGGGUGCAUGAAGUCGGAAUCGCUAGUAAUCGCAGAUCAGGAUGCAGCGGUGAAUAAGUUAACGGGUC
rnacentral:rRNA from 1 species